rnacentral:misc_RNA from 1 species
GAAAUGCGAUAAGUAAUGUGAAUUGCAGAAUUCAGUGGAUCAUCGAAUCUUUGAACGCACCUUGCGCUCCUUGGUAUUCCUUGGAGCAUGCCUGUUUGAGUAUCAUGAAAUCUUCAAAGUAAAUCUUUUGUUAACUCAAUUGGUUUCUACUUUGGUAUUGGAGGUCUUUGCAGCUUCACACCUGCUCCUCUUUGUUCAUUAGCUGGAUCUCAGUGUUAUGCUUGGUUCCACUCGGCGUGAUAAGUUAUCUAUCGCUGAGGACACUGUAAAAGGUGGCCAAGGUAAAUGCAGAUGAACCGCUUCUAAUCGUCCAUUGACUUGGACAAUACUUUUAUGAUCUGAUCUCAAAUCAGGUAGGACUACCCGCUGAACUUAAGC